rnacentral:tRNA from 1 species
GCAGUGGUAGUUCAGUGGUAGAAUGCUGGCCUUCCAUGCUGAAGACCCGGGCUUGAUUCCCAGCCAAUGUA